GUUAAAGUGGGAAAGUCGACAACAAAUUCACGAGAAACGGCACUUAAUCCAUUCCCAGUCGAAUUAGGUUUCACACUUUUUUCUUUUAAAGAAUGCUAGAAAAAUUAAAAACUUUCUUGUCACUUUUAGAAUAAGUUGAACAACUGUAUCUAAGAGAAAAGCACUUUGGCCCCACGCGGCGUUAACCUCGUUCCAAGUAACCUUGUAUAACACAAUUCAAAUGUUUUUAUUUGUGUAACACGACGUACCGAAUCCUCGGGCACUUUACCUAAACGAAGACCAUUAAUUAUCCCAUACAUCCCGCGGACUCUAAAAGACAUUAGAACGAGUUAGAAUAGAGAGGAGUGUCCGAUUGUAAUCAAGAGUAUUCUGUACAAGUAGUAGUCAUAUAUCACAAAACACAGUUCAAAUCAAAAAGGGAAAAGGUACUUGCUCCGACGAUAUGAAUGCUGAACGACAAGGCGGUGGGUAUUUGAGUCCAUAUUUCAUAUGGGCUGAACUGUAUUUUAAAAAGCGCCGUUUUUAACUGCAAAGAACAAUUGAAAAUCCGAUAAAAAAGGAAAUUGCUUAAGGUAAUGCAUUUUACAGAAUUAGUUUCGCCUUGUGAGU